AUGGUUUAUAUUUUUGAGCAUGCACGAUAUAGAUUAAAAAUAUUUUAACUUAUUUUUUUACUAUAGUAUUUAGAAAAUAAAAUUUUAAAAUACACAUGUAUGCCCCUACAUACGAAUUUCAAUAGUGGUAUCAAAGCCACGGGUUUCAUAUGCAUGAAAUUGAAAUACAUAUUUUGAAAAGAGUUUUAAAAUCUGAUUUUUUUC
rnacentral:lncRNA from 1 species